rnacentral:rRNA from 1 species
UGGGAACGCGAAGAACCUUACCAGGUCUUGACAUCCAACUAACGAAGCAGAGAUGCAUCAGGUGCCCUUCGGGGAAAGUUGAGACAGGUGGUGCAUGGUUGUCGUCAGCUCGUGUCGUGAGAUGUUGGGUUAAGUCCCGCAACGAGCGCAACCCUUGUGAUUAGUUGCUACGCAAGAGCACUCUAAUCAGACUGCCGUUGACAAAACGGAGGAAGGUGGGGACGACGUCAAAUCAUCAUGCCCUUUGUGACCUGGGCUACACACGUACUACAAUGGCUGUUAACAGAGGGAAGCAAGACCGCGAGGUGGAGCAAAACCCUAAAAACAGUCUCAGUUCGGAUCGCAGGCUGCAACCCGCCUGCGUGAAGUUGGAAUUGCUAGUAAUCGCGGAUCAUCAUGCCGCGGUGAAUACGUUCCCGGGUCUUGUACACACCG